rnacentral:misc_RNA from 1 species
GCAAACUUGGUCAUUUAGAGGAAGUAAAAGUCGUAACAAGGUUUCCGUAGGUGAACCUGCGGAAGGAUCAUUAUGAAUCGGUAUUGGUGGAUGCAGGGCCCCUCGGGUGCCCCUGGUCCUCUCUCUACACCCUUGCAUACCAUAACACCGUUGCUCGAGCGGGCUCGCCCGCGAGAGAUAACCACAACCUUAUGUUUUGAUUGUCUGAAGUAUAACUUAAUACUAUAAAACUUUCAACAACGGAUCUCUUGGUUCCAGCAUCGAUGAAGAACGCAGC